CACGUAGGGGGCAAGCGUUGUCCGGAUUUAUUGGGCGUAAAGGGUGUGUAGGUGGCGCGCUAAGUCGGGUGUGAAAUUUCGGAGCUUAACUCCGAAACUGCAUUCGAUACUGGCGUGCUUGAGGACUGGAGAGGAGACUGGAAUUUACGGUGUAGCAGUGAAAUGCGUAGAUAUCGUAAGGAAGACCAGUGGCGAAGGCGGCUCACUGGCCCGAUACUGACGCUGAGGCACGAAAGCGUGGGGAGCAAACAGG
rnacentral:rRNA from 1 species